rnacentral:lncRNA from 1 species
AAUCCACCACAGCCACUGGAAAAAUGCCCCUGGCUUUCACAGGGCUAGGGUUUCAUCCUAACAAGUUGAAAAGCUACAGGCCAAACAUACCCACGGGAUCCAAAACAUACAUCUCCAGCAAUCUGUGCUGAUUUUAAUGUAUUUGCGUAUAAUCUUCUUGAUGAGAGUUUUCCCACUGAACUCCUGCUCUGACACGACAAGGAAUGUUUAAGGCAGCAACAUGGAAAACAUAGAAGAGAGAGAUGAACACCUAAACAAAGAUUAGAAAAGGCAAAACUCUUUAGCUUUUUCUCCACUCUGCUUCCCCUCCUUCUGGCCCUAUCACCAAUGACUUUUGCCUUCAGAGUUACUCCGUGGUAGCCCCAAAGGAAAUGCUGGUGGUAAGAUUGUGGUGGUAACCUGGUCUUCGCACUUGUGCUUGUUUGUUUGUUUUGCAAUAUAAAUCAGGUCUGCACGGGACUUGCAUGCAUAUCUCCAGCUAAGGGCCCCAGAGCUACUUUUUCUCUGCGACAGGGUGGACCUCCAUAUCUCCAGAAAGGGAGAUCUCAUUUGAGAGAGCUUCUUUCUGCCAGACACUAACAGAGCACAGAAUGGUGUAUUGUCUGUUGAGGACAGAAUGCAGGAGGAUAAUUACAGUACUGUCAUUUUUGACAGCACAGGAUACACCCCAGUCCAAGAGGAACUAGACACAGACCACCAGCAAUACAGACCAUUCGUUAUAUCUUUUUUUUUUUCCAGUAGCUAUUAAUUUGGGAUGCAUUUCAACUAGUGGCCUUGACUGGAAAAGUACCAGAUCCCAUGCUGUGUAUCUCGAGGGUACCCUGUCUCAUUAAUAAGCACCUUCAUUCCAGAGUAUUGUCUGUUUAUUUUGGAAGGUUUUCCUCCCCUCCCUGAAAAAACAGAGAUGAAUUGGGAUAAAUACAGGCAGGAAAUGGUUUCCCUAGCAACACUAAGAAUACAUAAGAACAACCUCAUCAUUCACUUUUCUUCCUUAGAUACACUUUUAAAAGAAGUUUGAGCUACCCUAAAAGACAUCUCCUGUUUGCAGUACAACACCCAAGUCAACAGAAUUAAUCAGCCCUGAUUUCACUUUCAGUGAGAAGGGAACUAAGUCCCUUUAAAAAAAACAGGGACAUAAGGUCUUAGAUUCCAGGGAAAGAAAGCUGAGUCAAAAGAGGAGUUCAUUCAGAUUCAACCCUGCUCAAAAGAAAGCUGCUUUAUGUAACAUUCAGCUUUGCUGAAAUGUAACUUACAUUAACGAUCUUCCAGCAUGCCCUGUUCAGAGAGCCUUAGGUUUUGGUAAAGUCUGGGUUGAGCUGUCCAUAGGCAAAAUCUAACCUAGUUGUGUAACAGUGCCAGAAAGGAAAUCAGAAAACUUGUUUCUGAGAAUUUAUUGGGGGAGACAUCAAAGCGUGGUGCUGCGUAAUUCCUACUCCUGUCACGUUGCACUAACACAGCCCCCUCGCUCCUGAUCCACUUGCCGUUCCUGCCAGCUU